rnacentral:rRNA from 1 species
AUGAACGCUAGCUACAGGCUUAACACAUGCAAGUCGAGGGGCAGCAUGGGAUAGCUGCUAUCCAGAUGGCGACCGGCGCACGGGUGAGUAACGCGUAUCCAACCUUCCCUAUAGUAGAGAAUAGCCCGGCGAAAGUCGGAUUAAUGCUCUAUGUUGUGUUUUGAGGACAUCUGACGAACACCAAAGGUUCACCGCUAUAGGAUGGGGAUGCGUCUGAUUAGCUUGUUGGCGGGGUAACGGCCCACCAAGGCGACGAUCAGUAGGGGUUCUGAGAGGAAGGUCCCCCCACAUUGGUACUGAGACACGGACCAAACUCCUACGGGAGGCAGCAGUGAGGAAUAUUGGUCAAUGGGCGAGAGCCUGAACCAGCCAAGUAGCGUGCAGGAUGAACCUGCCCUAUGGGUUGUAAACUGCUUUUAUCAGGGAAUAAAGUGCGGCACGUGUGCCGUUUUGUAUGUACCUGAUGAAUAAGGACCGGCUAAUUCCGUGCCAGCAGCAGC